CCUACGGGAGACUGCAGUGGGGGAUAUUGCACAAUGGGGGAAACCCUGAUGCAGCGACGCCGCGUGAGUGAAGAAGUAUUUCGGUAUGUAAAGCUCUAUCAGCAGGGAAGAAAAUGACAGUACUUGACCAAGAAGCCCCGGCUAACUACGUGCCAGCAGCCGCGGUAAUACGUAGGGGGCAAGCGUUAUCCGGAUUUACUGGGCGUAAAGGGAGCGUAGACGGUUCUGUAAGUCUGGAGUGAAAGCCCGGGGCCCAACCCCGAGAAGGCUUUGGAAACUGUGUAACUGGAGUGCAGGAGAGGCGAGCGGAAUUCCUGGUGUAGCGGUGAAAUGCGUAGAUAUCAGGAGGAACACCAGCGGCGAAGGCGGCCUGCUGGACUGAAACUGACGUUGAGGCUCGAAAGCGUGGGGAGCAAACAGGAUUAGAUACCCGGGUAGUC
rnacentral:rRNA from 1 species